UUGAACGCUGGCGGCAUGCUUUACACAUGCAAGUCGAACGGUAGACCCUUUCGGGGAUAGUGGCGCACGGGUGCGUAACGCGUGGGAAUCUGCCCUUGGGUUCGGAAUAACUUCGGGAAACUGAAGCUAAUACCGGAUGAUGACGAAAGUCCAAAGAUUUAUCGCCCAGGGAUGAGCCCGCGUAGGAUUAGCUAGUUGGUGGGGUAAAGGCUCACCAAGGCAACGAUCCUUAGCUGGUCUGAGAGGAUGAUCAGCCACACUGGGACUGAGACACGGCCCAGACUCCUACGGGAGGCAGCAGUAGGGAAUAUUGGACAAUGGGCGAAAGCCUGAUCCAGCAAUGCCGCGUGAGUGAUGAAGGCCUUAGGGUUGUAAAGCUCUUUUACCCGAGAUGAUAAUGACAGUAUCGGGAGAAUAAGCUCCGGCUAACUCCGU
rnacentral:rRNA from 1 species